UUGUAAACCCAUCCGGAAUCUUGCUUAUUUGUCGCCUAUGACAGAUUUUCUAACCUAAAUUGUCAUCAACUUUAACAAUUUAUAUCUCGCUCCACAAGGCAGAGCGACGAUUUUUUCAAAUAGAAAAGUUGUUUUUCUUGCAAAAACGCGUCGAUUAAAUAUUUUUUCGUUGAUAUCGGAGAUGGACAUGUAUAGAUUGGCAAAAGCGUUCAAAAACCAUUGCGUUAUCAAACGUCAUCUGAUGAGGAACCAAAGCACAAGAGGAAUACUACAUUGAUCGCACCUUCUACCACCUGGGAUAAUCAACACGGACAUCAAUGACAUCGAGAGGAUGCUGCAACAAAAUGAGAAGACAACAUAUUUUAAUAUCCAUCCAGAAUUAACACAAACAUCACAUAAAGAAAUAUGCACACAUGGAAACACAUACAAACAUUUCUCUUGACAAGGGAUAUACUUCACAUAUACAGACACACACAAAUAUAGGAUAUACUGCACACAAACACAUAACACACACACAUCUAUGUGAAGCUAGCCCCUUAUUAUCAAAAUUUGAAAAAAAUGAUUAGAGUUCUAGUUGCCCCCCAAAGAGUUCUAGAGUUCUCAAUCACACAAAUAUUGAAUUCUCUCUAAAUAUACAGACCAAUAAUAAUUAAUAAUAUAAGUUUUACAUUGCGCACAGAUUAUGAUAAAACAUAUUAUACUAAUGACGCUUUAUCUCAGUUCCAAGACUUGACACCAAUUAUGACGAUGCAAGAUGCACACCAUCAACAUCAAUAUCAACAUGAUUAUGCCAUCUAUGAGACUAUGCCAUCACAAGAGACCUCAGUAUAGGAAGAUAUUACAUAUAAAAGCCCAGCAAACUAUACAGAACUCAUGGAACAAUGAGUCAGAAGAGGACGACAUUGAGGAUACGAACGACGAGUAAGAAUAGUAUUGCGAUGGAUAUGUAAUGGACCAAGGAACAAGAUUCAAUGUAUCACUUUGACUUAAGUCACCCAGAGAAUGGAGAAGCAGAAGAAAAAGAAACAAGAUGAGGAAGAGGAAAAGACAGGAAAGAAAGGAGGAAUAUGUGGAGGAGAGAGAAUAUGGAGAAAGAGUGAUUGUAAAAUAAGGAGGAAAAAUCUGUGUAGUUUCUGUCUGUCGACAGACGAAUUUUCAGACUUUUCAGUGCCACAUUUUCUUAAUGUGUCAAACGUUGAUCAACUUAUCGUAUUAGCAAUGUGCAAUCGGUGCUUCUUAGCCACAUCAACUGCAAUGAACACUUACACUCGAGAUUAAUUUCCAAAUUUUCUUGAAUGUUGCAGAAACGUUUUCGAGUUCUGUAUGGAGCAGAUUUUCUCUUCAAUAACUCUCAUCGAGGAAGACAAUGAAGAAUCCACCAGAUGAAAAUUAUACUUCAUUCUUGUUAUAUAUCUAUGAAAGAAGGAGGGCGUACUAGGUGGCAACGGGACGCCGUGCGUUCGGGACCUGCAUCUUAUUUUCGUUCCGAAGAGAGAAAAAUAUCGAGAGCAUGGGCGUACGUCUUGUCCGGCCUCUCCAGACGCUGUUAUGUAUACAACUCACAACCACCGCUCCGCCACAUUUGGAGCCUCCUCAAUUGAAACCAACCCUAGCGCGUAUCCGCGUAAAUACAUAACAAUUUCAAGGGGCAUUUCUGUAUGCCGAUGUUCCGUAGACGAUAACGGCCAGGUAUACUUUUCGUCAAAGCA
rnacentral:lncRNA from 1 species